rnacentral:rRNA from 1 species
UACGAAGGGGGGCUAGCGUUGUUCGGAAUUACUGGGCGUAAAGCGUGCGCAGGCGGCUGCUCAAGUCAGGGGUGAAAGCCCAGAGCUCAACUCUGGAAUUGCCUUUGAGACUGAGUGGCUUGAGUACGGGAGAGGUGAGUGGAAUUCCCAGUGUAGAGGUGAAAUUCGUAGAUAUUGGGAAGGAACACCGGUGGCGAAGGCGGCCAUCUGGACGGUAACUGACGGCUGAGACGCGAAAGCGUGGGGAGCAAAC